CAGUCGCCGCGGGAAUACGUAGGGUGCGAGCGUUAAUCGGAAUUACUGGGCGUAAAGCGUGCGCAGGCGGUUGUGUAAGACAGGUGUGAAAUCCCCGGGCUUAACCUGGGAACUGCGCUUGUGACUGCACAGCUAGAGUAUGGCAGCGGGGGGUGGAAUUCCACGUGUAGCAGUGAAAUGCGUAGAGAUGUGGAGGAACACCGAUGGCGAAGGCAGCCCCCUGGGCCAAUACUGACGCUCAUGCACGAAAGCGUGGGGAGCAAACAGGAUUAGAUACCCCGGUAGUCCCUGUCUCUUAUAC
rnacentral:rRNA from 1 species